AUGCACCUGUGGUCCGUUGACGGUGCGGCGGAGGUGCUCGGCGACAAAUGCAUCAUCGACCGGCUCGACAGCCGCACGCACAAGCGCGGCCACACGCGGACCUUCACGUGCUGGGUGUGGGUGUACGACGCCGCCUUCAUCCCCACCAAGCACACCAUCUGGCGCGCGACGCGUAGUGCCAGCCGCGUCGAGGCUAUGCUGGGCUUCUCGCCGCCCAACCGUGAGGUCCCCCCUCCACCACGUGUCCGACGCAACGUCAUGCUCAUCCACGUCGACCGCGUUGAAGACUGGACGCCCCUGACGCCUAGCUGCUCGCACUCAGGCCAGAGCGGCAUCCUGUCCUCUGGGUCCGAAGAUGAUCGCCCGUUCCCGCGGGUCUACCCGGGGACGUGGUCGAUGCACAUUGAGGAUGGCCAGGGACAGGGCAGGCGCCAGCCCCCGGUGGUCGGUCCCUCUGGCUGUGGCGGGCUCCAGCUGUGA
rnacentral:rRNA from 1 species